AAAUUUUUCAAACGAGAGCGCCAGGCGGGACGCAGAGCCGGGGGAGCCCGUGGCCUGGGCCUGUGCAGCGCCAUGGGCUCCCAACAGUGUGGGAUGUGUUUCUGAGCCAAGGAACGCUGACCCCGCAACCGAAUCUGCACGCGCGGUGCGCGCUCUACUCUGCCAGCGGCUCUAACGUUGCUUCCUCAGUAAGAACUUCUGAAUAACGGGGUCCGACCACUGCAUGUGUCCCCGCUGCAGGCCUGGGGUUGCUUCGGCUGCUUCUGUCUGAGAGGUUUAAGUGAUAACAUGAUGGAUCAACUGAGAAAAUCACAGAAGUGGCCAAUGCAGGGACAGAGCCCGGGGCUUGGCAGCCAUUAGGUGACCUGAGUCCGCCAGCACAGCGCCUUUCAAGCCCAGCGGCCAGUUGUUGGCAUGACCACCGGCUCCACAGGAGAGCCCCCAGAGGACUAUUUCCUGGCUAUGUGAUCAGCCUGCCAGUUCUUCGAGAUGCUCCAGUCCAGCCUGUUUAUCUUGGGAGCCACAGCAGGCACAAGCCCCCCCCCGCCCCCCUGCUCCCCCCAUGUGAUUACAUCUUUUCUCGGUCGUGGGGUUGGGCUGGCCUUUUGUACGAUGCUGAGCCACAGUGGGACGGGCAUCUUCCCCCUUAUUUUUAUCAGGCGCUUUUAUUCCCUGGGUUGUUUUGUUAAGUGUGCCUGUUUUUGAUUUUGCUCCCGGUCAGGAAAGGGGCCUGGGAUUCAGGGAGAUUAGAUGCCCUGGUGUGUUGAUGGGUCUUUAAAAGAACGAAGCAGGAGUUGAUCACGUGCUGAAGCUCAGGGCCAAUGCAGAGCUGCCUCCCAAGAGGCCAAUCAAUUUCAAUUAAGGAGAUUAAAAGCCUGGAGCCCAGAGCCGGCUGGUCACGCGUUUCUGAAUGCCUUGCUUCUCCAGCAGCCUGAAAGCAGGCCAGGGGCCCCAGGAGCGCUGGACAGCAUCCUGGGGGCCAGCGUCAGGACAGCAGUGAGAGGUCAGAUGCAAAAGGAGAAGCUGGCUCUCCACUCUUCAGGGGGCCCUCCUGGCAUUUGGGGCAGGACUGACCUGUCAGUGUUCUCCACCCAUUAAGUAUCCAGACCCACAUCACUGGGCCAUCCCAACCCAUCCCAACCCAACCAGACUCCUACACACACUUCCAGGGUGGAACUGGGCAGCUGCCUCUGAUCUGCUGUCUGGCAGAGGGGCAAGCCUUCUGUGGCUUCCAGGUGGGGAGCUGAUUCUCCUGGUCUGGAUCCAACUCCUCCAAUGGGCGUCCCGGAGGCUCGUGUCUGCUACAGUCCUCACUGGAUUCCAGGUGCCCACCUUCCCUAACUGCUCCGGCAUCCCAGGGGCCACACCUCCAGAGGGGUAAGGGCAGAGGCCAGAGCGGGAGGUCUGGUGGAGGAGAGGGGCUUUGGCAGCCCACAGAUCAGGGCUGAGCCCCCUCACCUCCACUUCUUGGUGGCUCUGCGUUGGCCCUGAGUCAGCACGGACCAGCCUGCGCUUGUUUUUCUUUUAAGACCAGUGGACACCCCAGGGCAUCCAAUCUGUGCCCAGGCAUCCAAGAGAGCCUCACUUUCCACGUUUAUAAAAGGGAGCUACCCACUCCCCCACCAGCCUGCCUCACGGGGUUUGCCAGGCUCACAGGAGGUACUGUGUGUUCAUAAACGUCCGAUGUCCCCUGGCCCCUCUGACUGCAGUGGCACUGGGUAGACAGGGGACCCGGGGCGAAAUUACACUCAGCUCCCUGGAUCUGGUGACUUUCAUUCAGAAGCCAACACAUCACCAGUAUCGCAAGGAUUUGACCAAUGUGCUUUGUCCGCUGUAAACACCAGUUACUUGCGGAAGGAGGGGGCAGGAGCACCAGGGUCAUGGGAGGAGGAGUGUGCGGGAUGCAGGGGAGGAAGGAGGAGGGGCCCUCCAGGAGCGGGAGUGGCGUGAGGACGAUGGAAACCACGGGCACGUGUUGGGCAGGAGAGAAGUGGCCCUGGAUGGAAGCCAGAUGCAGCCUGCGGCACAGCAGAGACUUGCUGGGAACCCCAGGAGGCUGAAGCCACGUCCCCCCAGCCCCUGGGCGUGAUGUUCUCUCUAAGGACUGGCUGUUCGUCGUGGGCCUCUUCUCCCUACUCUCCUGUUAACAGGACAGCCUGGAGAGUGAAGAGGGUGGUGGGGUCGGGGGGCUGGUUUCAGGUCUUUUGGCUGCUUGUUUGGUUAUCGAAAGGACAGGAUAGCCUCUGUGGAAAGUGACCUCAUCAAGAAGUGUGGGGUCACAGAGCCCCGAGCCCUCGUGGGGAGCCAGGCGCAGGGCAGGUCCCGGACUCCCCCAAGGGCACCUUCCUCAGUAGCAGGGCCAGUCUCCUGCUGCCCCCUCCUCACCCCCAGCCUCCCGGGCCUCUCUUCCAUGACCUACCUCUCCCAGGAUAACCGAGCAAUGAUGCCGGGAGCCGCAGGCUUCCGUUUGCUGACAAGAGCCAGGAGGGCUGUUCAUAAACCUUUAAAGUGUCUGGACCUUUCUCUCAAACAACAACAAGAAUAAGUCUCAAGCAGGUUGUUUUAUACAGAAAAGGUCUUGUUCUUGAUACCAAUUUAUUUUACCAAUGCAGAAAAAUGGAACUUCCCAUGGAUACCAAAGAGGAGGAAAUGAUUGCUGUAAGGAACUCUGAGGUCGCGAGGAGAGGGGUAGAAGAGCUUGCAAGUCCCACCUCGGGGUGGGCCUGGCUGUGGGUGGGAUGGGAUCGUGAGCCCCGUCCUCCCUUCCUGCGGGGUGGCCAGAGGGCAGGGCGGCCGCCAAGCCCGGCAGCAGGAAGGGUAUGGGGUGUGAUGCAUCCGGGGCAUCUUGUGUCCUGGAGAACCGGCUUGGUCAUGUUACGUCACAUCGUGUCAUGGGAACCCACACCGAUUUUGAUGAAGACCCAAGGGAAGAAAUGCUGCCCGUGGAGGAAGCCCUGGGUGGCAGGAGACCCUGCUGCCAGCUCGGCUCCUCGGGCUGUGAGUGGCAGAGCCAGAAUCUUGGUCCGUUCGCGCUGCUACGACAAAGUGCCACAGCCUGGGGGGUUAAACCACAGACGUUUACUUCCCACAGUUCCGGAGGCUGGAAGCCUGACAUCGAGGUGCUGGCCAAUCGGUCCCUGGCAAGGUCUCCCUUCUUGGCUUGCAGAUGGCGGAGAGAGAGCUCUGGUGUCUCUUCCUCCUACAAGGACACUCACCCCAUCACGGGGGCCUCAUGCUCAUGACCUCACCUAAACCCAAUGCCCACCCAGAGGCCCAUCUCUGCGUACCAUCCAUCACACUGGGGGUCAGGGCUUCAGCGUGUUGGGUCCAGGGAGACGCAGACACAGCCUGUGAUGCCUGGGCUCGGUGUCUCCCCGUCAUCUCUGUGUCGCCUCCAUCAGUUAUGCUGGCCUCUGGGCAGCACUGUCCAAUGUCUGCAGUGAAGGACCAGUUUUCUUAUUUGCAAUGAGGUAUGACAUGUGCUGAGAAAAAUGAGAUUCUUGUACAAAAUACAAGCUCAUUUCUUUUUUUAUGAUUGGGUUCCACCGACCUACUGUUGCUGUUGAAUUGGUGUGGACACUCUGCUCACCCUCGCUUUCUGUCUCCUCACCCUGGAGCAGCGACCAAGCUUUCGAGGUCUUCCCUCCAUGGACCACCCUUUCAGGGGUGCUUUCGAGAGCCCCCCGGAAAGCCCACCAUCAGCCCUGGGGCGGUGGAGUCUGAAGCUUCCAGAGACAAAAUGCCAUGAGCCCCAGCUGGGGAGGGCCUCCCUGGGCCAGUUCCGCUCUGUCACCCGGGGACGUGGGGCGCCUGUCAGGAGGAGGGUGGUCUGGUCCCGUCUCGGUAUUCUGAGGUGCCAAAAGCACAGGCCUGAGUCAGAGACCGCAAGGCAAAUCUGUCUCCCCGGCUCGUGAGCUGUGGAAUUUGGGGUGAGCUCUUAACCUGUCGUGCCUCAGUUUCCCCGUCUAGCAGAUGGAGGAGGUGAUGGUAGCUUCCUGACAGGGAGGUUGUGAAGACUGAGUGAGGCGGUGACUGGGAAACACUUCACGUGGUGCCUCCUCACUCUGUUCCUCCUUCAGAAAAAGCUAGCGUGUGCCUCUCUCACAGCGGGGAGGCAGGACUCCGCCCCUGGGGUGGAACCGUGCGCUUUACAAGAGCGCAGAGGCCUCUUUCCCCAAAUCACAGGAUGUCAGAACAAAAUGUGGCAGUGGGCACAACUUCUUCCCAGGAAGGUGGGAUGUCAGCGCAGCUGCACACCGGUCAACCAGAUGGCUCGAAUUCCAAAUCCUUCAUUGAGAUCUGCUGGGGGAUGACAUCCUGACCAAAGAGGACACUGACCUCUGUGAUAUCUGAAAUAAACACGAGGCCUGUGAGCACCAAACGGCAGGCAUGCCUGUGGUUUCGGGGCUUCACACAGGAAGCCUCAGAGGCACCACCUUGGAGCAUCGCGAUGGAUGUCAGGGGCCAGGGGGCGGGGGCCUCUGAUCCCUCAUGGACUGUUCGCUUGCUCGGGCUCCUGUAACAAAGUAUCGCAGGCCGGCAGCUUAAGCAACAGAAAUUUAUUGUCUCAAGGCUCUAAAUGUGGGAGCAAGGCACCGGUCGGGCUGGUUGCUUGUGAGGGCAGGGUCUGCUCCAGGCCUCUCUCCUGGCCUGUGGGUGGUCAUCCCCUUCCAGUGUCUUCACAUCUUCUUCCCUCUGUGCCCGUCUGUGUCCAAAUGUCCCCUUCUUAUAAGGACACCAGUCAUGUUGGAUUAGGGCCACCCUGAUCAUGUCAUUUUAAAUUAAUUAACCUCUUUAAAGCCCUAUCUCCAAAUGUAGUCACAGUCUGACGUGCGGUGGGGAGAGCAGUUAGGGCUUCAGCAUAUGGAUCCGGGGGAGGGGGCAGGGGGGCAAUUCAGCCCAUAACAGCCCUUUACCCCACUGGCCUCCAUUUCACCAGCAGAGCAAUAGUGGGUGAGCCUACGACCGCCUGAUUUCUCCUGAGUUUAAGCACAUUAAGGCUCAGCCUUGUGGACCAGCCUUCCAAGUGCAGCUGAGUGUGUGACUCGGGCCACGUAAUCUUUCCAGGUUAAAAUGUCUAAAGCACAGACAAUAAAAAUAAGACAUAGCAUCCAUUUGUCGCCCCAGGUGCUCUGAGCAUUAAGUUAUGGUCACAGCAGGGAUGCGGGACAAUCAGUCCUCGGACAGAAUGACGCAGAGGCAAGUCCACCAGCAGCACCACUAGCACAAAACAAGCUUCAAACCAACAGGAGAAGACGAGAGCGUAACGCCUCCCUAACAACCCCACUUCACUGAUGCAAUGCCAGGAAAACGACGUUAGAUUCCACUGAUUCUCCUUGAGAUCUAAUAAAGUGCUUUAUUCAGAUCUUAUUCACAUACCUCUUCCUCCACGGGUCCAUCUCAGGAGCUGAAGGUGGCUAGCUGCAAACAGAACUGGUUCUGCUGUCAUUUGAAAUCACAGAAGUGAAUGCGUUUUCUAACGCAAAAGCUACCAUGCUUUCUUUGGGAAACAGGGCACGGUUGGAAAAAAAAAUCUCAGUUCUAAACAAAAUUGAAAGCAUGGCUAACUUGAGAUUUGUUUGAUUACAAAGUCCUUCUCAGGGUUCAUCAGUGUUAGAACCCAUUCCUCCUGGCACUGAUGAGCCAAUAAAAGAUCCAAAAGGAGAGAAGAAAGUAUCCCGUCAACUCAGAGAAACAAGGUUGUUCAUUUUUCCAAAAGGCGUUGGAUUAAUGUUUAUACUGCUGAGUCAGAUUAUUUAUACAUCAGCUGUAGGUUUUGCAUCUCCAGAGUUUGUUAGCAUUCAGAGCAUGAUAAAUUGUACCUGACUUACUUGUGAAAAAUCAUCUCGAGAAAGAUUUUUUUCCCUUUGGGGAAAUAUGUAAAUGCCACAUGGUGGUGUACAGCCAGAAACACUCAGCAGGAGGGAGGGGGUUUGGGAUGUCACAACGCAUGGUUGAGAAUUUCGGCUUUGGGGGAGUGUCUUGACACUUCUCAAGUCACGUCACCUCUGAACCUCGACUUCACCGCCAGAAUAGGUUCCAAACUCCGGGCUUUCUGUAAAUACUCAAUGGGACGAUACAUGCACAGAAUUCUGCACUAAUGCACCCAGAGGCCAAAUACGAAUCCAAUAAGUGCCAGCUUUUCUUUCAUUAUUACUACAGAGAAUCUUGGCAUGCUUCAUAUUUCAUCUGUGGAAAAGUCACAGAAAGGAUUAAAUUUGUUGGGGAAAAAGUGUCUUGGGCCCCCUUACUUAGCACCUGUGUUCUCUGUCUGUUCUAAGAAGUGAUGUUAACAAAUUAGCAGGUGUUAGGGAGGUGUGGAGCAACCAGGACCCUCGUACAUUGCUGGUGGGGAUGUAAAAGGAUGCAGAACUUUGGGCAAACUCUUUAGUGGAUCCUCAAAAGGUAAACACUGAUGUGGCCCAGGAGGCUAACUCCACGGUACACACCCAAAAGAACUGAAAACAGGUGUCCAGACAAAAACUUGUUCAUAAGUGUUCAUUGUAAGAUUAUUCACAAGAGACAAAAGGUGGAAAGCUACAGCUGAAGUGUCUAUUAACUAAUGAAUGGAUAAACCGAAUGCAGACCUGCCAGGCAGUGGAAUUUCAUCUGCCAACAAGCAACAGUGAGGUGGCCUCAUGCUCCAACCUACAUAAACAUGACGCUGAUGGAAAUAAACCAGUCACAAAAGGCUACAUAUUGCGUGAUUCCAUUCAUAUGAAACAUCCAGAAUAAACAAGUCUAUAGAAACAGGAAGUAAUUAGCGGUUGCCUGGGGCUGGGAGCAAAGGCGGGCCCCCGGGGGUGGCGCCUAAGGGGUAGGCGCUAGGUUUCUUUUGGGAAUGAUGAACAUUUUCUGGAAUUAGACAGUGAGGAUGGUUGUACAAUUCUGUGAAUAUAUUUAAAAACACUGAAUUGUACACUCUAAAAAUGGUGGAUUUUAUGGUUUAUGAAUUAUAUCUGCAAAAAAAAAAUCAAUGAAUGCUUAAUGUGAAAAAUAAGAAAACAGGGAAACAAAAUUUGUUAUUGCAGCAUCCAAAGAUAAUCACUGGAAAUGUUUGAAGUCGAUCCUUGCAGACUCUGAUACAAUUAUAUACAUUAAAAAAAAUAAAAUGGGAUCAUACAAGUACA